rnacentral:rRNA from 1 species
GUAAGCUACUAAGAGCGAAUGGUGGAUGCCUUGACUGGUAAAGGCGAUGAAGGACGUACUAGACUGCGAUAAGCUACGGGGAGCUGUCAAGAAGCUUUGAUCCGUAGAUUUCCGAAUGGGGCAACCCAAUGUAUAGAGAUAUACAUUACCUAUAUAGGAGCGAACGAGGGGAAUUGAAACAUCUUAGUACCCUCAGGAAAAGAAAUCAAUAGAGAUUGCGUCAGUAGCGGCGAGCGAAAGCGCAAGAGGGCAAACCCAGUGCUUGCACUGGGGGUUGUAGGACUGCAAUGUGCAAGAGGUGAGUUUAGCAGAACAUUCUGGAAAGUAUAGCCAUAGAGGGUGAUAGUCCCGUAUGCGAAAAACAAACCUUAGCUAGCAGUAUCCUGAGUAGGGCGGGACACGAGAAAUCCUGUCUGAAGCUGGGUCGACCACGAUCCAACCCUAAAUACUAAUACCAGAUCGAUAGUGCACAAGUACCGUGAGGGAAAGGUGAAAAGAACUGAGGUGAUCAGAGUGAAAUAGAACCUGAAACCAUUUGCUUACAAUCAUUCAGAGCCCUAUGUAGCAAUACAGGGUGAUGGACUGCCUUUUGCAUAAUGAGCCUGCGAGUUGUGGUGUCUGGCAAGGUUAAGCAAACGCGAAGCCGUAGCGAAAGCGAGUCUGAAUAGGGCGCUUAGUCAGAUGCUGCAGACCCGAAACGAAGUGAUCUAUCCAUGAGCAAGUUGAAGCUAGUGUAAGAACUAGUGGAGGACUGAACCCAUAGGCGUUGAAAAGCCCCGGGAUGACUUGUGGAUAGGGGUGAAAGGCCAAUCAAACUUCGUGAUAGCUGGUUCUCUCCGAAAUAUAUUUAGGUAUAGCGUUGUGUCGUAAUAUAAGGGGGUAGAGCACUGAAUGGGCUAGGGCAUACACCAAUGUACCAAACCCUAUCAAACUCCGAAUACCUUAUAUGUAAUCACAGCAGUCAGGCGGCGAGUGAUAAAAUCCGUCGUCAAGAGGGAAACAACCCAGACUACCAGCUAAGGUCCCUAAAUCUUACUUAAGUGGAAAACGAUGUGAAGUUACUUAAACAACCAGGAGGUUGGCUUAGAAGCAGCCAUCCUUUAAAGAAAGCGUAAUAGCUCACUGGUCUAGUGAUUUUGCGCGGAAAAUAUAACGGGGCUAAAGUAAGUACCGAAGCUGUAGACUUGCACACAACUUAGAUUAUUUAAGUUUAGAAUAUGAGAAACUAAGUUAUAUGUUUAGUUAUAUUUUUACUGAUUUUUAUAGAGUAAAGAUAGAAAUAAAACUUAGUAAAAUCAGUAAAAAUAUUCUUAGACUAAAGUUAAGUAGUUUAAGUUGUGUGCAAGUGGUAGGAGAGCGUUCUAUUUGCGUCGAAGGUAUACCGGUAAGGAGUGCUGGAGCGAAUAGAAGUGAGCAUGCAGGCAUGAGUAGCGAUAAUUAAUGUGAGAAUCAUUAACGCCGUAAACCCAAGGUUUCCUACGCGAUGCUCGUCAUCGUAGGGUUAGUCGGGUCCUAAGUCGAGUCCGAAAGGGGUAGACGAUGGCAAAUUGGUUAAUAUUCCAAUACCAACAUUAGUGUGCGAUGGAAGGACGCUUAGGGCUAAGGGGGCUAGCGGAUGGAAGUGCUAGUCUAAGGUCGUAGGAGGUUAUACAGGCAAAUCCGUAUAACAAUACUCCGAGAACUGAAAGGCUUUUUGAAGUCUUCGGAUGGAUAGAAGAACCCCUGAUGCCGUCGAGCCAAGAAAAGUUUCUAAGUUUAGCUAAUGUUGCCCGUACCGUAAACCGACACAGGUGGGUGGGAUGAGUAUUCUAAGGCGCGUGGAAGAACUCUCUUUAAGGAACUCUGCAAAAUAGCACCGUAUCUUCGGUAUAAGGUGUGGUUAGCUUUGUAUUAGGAUUUACUCCGAAAGCAAGGAAACUUACAACAAAGAGUCCCUCCCGACUGUUUACCAAAAACACAGCACUCUGCUAACUCGUAAGAGGAUGUAUAGGGUGUGACGCCUGCCCGGUGCUCGAAGGUUAAUUGAUGGGGUUAGCAUUAGCGAAGCUCUUGAUCGAAGCCCGAGUAAACGGCGGCCGUAACUAUAACGGUCCUAAGGUAGCGAAAUUCCUUGUCGGUUAAAUACCGACCUGCAUGAAUGGCGUAACGAGAUGGGAGCUGUCUCAAAGAGGGAUCCAGUGAAAUUGUAGUGGAGGUGAAAAUUCCUCCUACCCGCGGCAAGACGGAAAGACCCCGUGGACCUUUACUACAGCUUGACACUGCUACUUGGAUAAGAAUGUGCAGGAUAGGUGGGAGGCUUUGAGUAUAUGACGCCAGUUGUAUAUGAGCCAUUGUUGAGAUACCACUCUUUCUUAUUUGGGUAGCUAACCAGCUUGAGUUAUCCUCAAGUGGGACAAUGUCUGGUGGGUAGUUUGACUGGGGCGGUCGCCUCCCAAAUAAUAACGGAGGCUUACAAAGGUUGGCUCAGAACGGUUGGAAAUCGUUCGUAGAGUAUAAAGGUAUAAGCCAGCUUAACUGCAAGACAUACAAGUCAAGCAGAGACGAAAGUCGGUCUUAGUGAUCCGGUGGUUCUGUGUGGAAGGGCCAUCGCUCAAAGGAUAAAAGGUACCCCGGGGAUAACAGGCUGAUCUCCCCCAAGAGCUCACAUCGACGGGGAGGUUUGGCACCUCGAUGUCGGCUCAUCGCAUCCUGGGGCUGGAGCAGGUCCCAAGGGUAUGGCUGUUCGCCAUUUAAAGCGGUACGCGAGCUGGGUUCAGAACGUCGUGAGACAGUUCGGUCCCUAUCUGCCGUGGGCGUAAGAAGAUUGAAGAGAUUUGACCCUAGUACGAGAGGAC